GACGAACGCUGGCGGCGUGCUUAACACAUGCAAGUCGAACGGAAAGGCCCUGCUUUUGUGGGGUGCUCGAGUGGCGAACGGGUGAGUAACACGUGAGUAACCUGCCCUUGACUUUGGGAUAACUUCAGGAAACUGGGGCUAAUACCGGAUAGGAGCUCCUGCUGCAUGGUGGGGGUUGGAAAGUUUCGGCGGUUGGGGAUGGACUCGCGGCUUAUCAGCUUGUUGGUGGGGUAGUGGCUUACCAAGGAUUUGACGGGUAGCCGGCCUGAGAGGGUGACCGGCCACAUUGGGACGGAGAUACGGCCCAGACUCAUACGGGAGGCAGCAGUGGGGAAUAUUGCACAAUGGGCGGAAGCCUGAUGCAGAAACGCCGCGUGCGGGAUGACGGCCUUCGGGUUGUAAACCGCUUUCGCCUGUGACGAAGCGUGAGUGACGGUAAUGGGUAAAGAAGCACCGGCUAACUACGU
rnacentral:rRNA from 1 species